rnacentral:rRNA from 1 species
AAAAGCACUUUGGAAAGAGAGUUAAAGAGGCCGCGAAACCGUUGGGAGGGAAACGCAUGCAGCCGAACGGGCCCUCGUCGGGUUCAGGGGGCUGCGAGGAGUCGUGCGUGCAGACGGCACCCUCGCGGGUCGUCCGUGCGUCCGCGCCUCUCGCACCCUUGCACUCUCGGCGGUUGUGGCCGGCCAAGUGCGGUGGGCUCCGGACGAUGAGCGCGCGUCGGGCAGGUAGCGCAGCUGUCUCUGGCAGAGGCGAACUUACAGCCGAGCGUGCGGAGCGUCCGGCGCCUACCGAGGAGAGCGGUGGCACUUCCACCCCAGCAGCGCAGGUCCGCUUCGGCGGGCCGGAGCGCUCCCGUCCGUUCGGCAGCCGGGCCGCGUCACUGCGUGCAGUGUCCGGCCUCGGUUCGUUCGUCCGGGUGGGAGGUCGUCUCACGCCUUGCGCUGUGGUCGCUU